rnacentral:rRNA from 1 species
GAUGAACGCUGGCGGCGUGCUUAACACAUGCAAGUCGUGCGGUCCAGGGUAGCAAUACUUUGGAUAGCGGCGAACGGGUGAGUAACACGUGGGUAAUCUCCCCUCGAGUGAGGAAUAAGCCCUCGAAAGGGGGUCUAAUACCGCAUGAAACUCCGGGACACAUGUCUUCGGAGUCAAAGCCGUAAGGCGCUUGAGGAUGAGCCUGCGACCUAUUAGCUAGUUGGUAGGGUAAUGGCCUACCAAGGUUAUGAUGGGUAGCCGGCCUGAGAGGGUGUACGGCCACACUGGGACUGAGACACGGCCCAGACUCCUACGGGAGGCAGCAGUGAGGAAUUUUGCGCAAUGGGGGAAACCCUGACGCAGCGACGCCGCGUGGAGGAUGACGGCCUUCGGGUUGUAAACUCCUGUCAGAGGUGAAGAAUGCCCGCAAGGGUUUGACGGUAACCUCAGAGGAAGCCCCGGCUAACUACGUGCCAGCAGCCGCAGUAAAAC